rnacentral:lncRNA from 1 species
GAUACCGUUUUAUGGCUUCCAACUCUGCAGCACUCUUACUUUGAUUAACAGCCUGGCCAUCAGAAGUGGAAAGCCUCAUUUCAGAUGUAUUCUGGCUGGUGCCGGUAGCCUGCACUGCAGAGGUGCGCGGCUUCUUGCGUGGGGUGAUUUUCUUAGCUGGAUCAGUUGAUCUUUUGCUUGGCGCCUUGUUUCUAGCCACAUCAGACUGCUUCUUGGUGGGAAUGGUGUGGUUAGCAUGUUCAAACACAUCACACUUUAUAGCAGUGGUUGACAGGGUCUUGCUUGGGUUGCUCUUAGCCUCUGUAGCUUUGCGACUGACGUUGUCAAGACAUGCAGUUUCCUUGAUCUUCUCCUCCAACUCUUGGUGCUCCUUUAUGACCUCCAUAUUUGCAGCACUGGUACUUUGCUCCACAGCCUUGUCAACAGAAGCAGAAAGCUUCAUUCCAGGGGUCUUCCUGCUGGCACCAGUAGCUUGUACUGAAGAGGUACACGAACUCUUGCAUGGGGCCUUUUUCUUAGCUCGAUAAGUUGGUCUAUUGCUUGGGCCAUUGUUUUUAGCUUCACCAGACAGCAUCUUGCUGGGAAUGGGAUGAUUAGCUUCUUUCAACACCUCCUUAGGCGUCACAGCAGUGAUUGUUUGAUUCCUGCUUGGGUAGUUACCCUCUUCAGCUGCUACUUCACUGUCAGUAUUGCAGAGCAAUUUCUUUCUCGGGGAGUUGCUAUGUUCCUCCUCACCCUGCUUUCUAGUCGUUGUAAGGCUCUUUCUUGGGGAGUUGAUAUGAUCUUUAGGCAAAUCCUGAAGUUGAAGACGAAGCAUCAUGCUCGAGAUGUUGUUCACCUCUUCACACAAUCCAUGUUUAGCAGGGUAACUGCUUGGAUCACUUCCUUGCUCUUCAGCAGCGGUUCUCAGGUUCAUGCUCAGGGUAUUGACAUUUGCCUCAUCCAGUAGUUUGUUGCCUGAGGUAUCGCUCUCAGAUUCAGCAGACAGUGUCUUGCUAAGGGCGUUGUUAUUGACCCCAUUACAGUGUCCCACUCUUGGGGAGUGGCUGCUUGCCUCACCAUGUGCUGGAGUGGUAAUCAGAUUCUUGCCUGGGUUGUCAGUAAUCAGUUUGUUGUCCUCAGGAUACUGUUUCAUGGCUUCCAACUCUGCAGCACUCUUACUUUGGUUAACAGCGUGGCCAUCAGAAGUGGAAAGCUUCAUUCCAGAUGUAUUCUGGCUGGUGCGGGUAGCCUGCACUGCAGAGGUGCGCGGCUUCUUGCGUGGGGUGAUUUUCUUAGCUAGAUCAGUUGAUCUAUUGCUUGGGGCCUUGUUUCUAGCCGCAUCAGAAAGCUUCUUGUUGGGAAUGGU